rnacentral:rRNA from 1 species
CCCGCUGAACUUAAGCAUAUUAAUAAGCGGAGGAAAAGAAACUAACAAGGAUUCCCCUAGUAACGGCGAGUGAAGCGGGAAUAGCUCAAAUUUGAAAUCUCCAGGGGCAACCUUGGCGAAUUGUAGUUUAGAGAAGCGUCUUCUGAGGCAGUGCACCGUCCAAGUUCUUUGGAACGAGACAUCAGAGAGGGUGAGAAUCCCGUUUCUGGCGGUGGGUCCACUGUUUCUCUACGGGGCGUUUUCGAAGAGUCGGGUUGUUUGGGAAUGCAGCCCAAAAUGGGUGGUAAAUUUCAUCUAAAGCUAAAUACAGGCACGAGACCGAUAGCGAACAAGUACCGUGAGGGAAAGAUGAAAAGCACUUUGAAAAGAGAGUUAAAUAGCACGUGAAGCCGUUAAAAUGGAAACGAUUGAAGUCAGCAGUGCUCAUGUAGCAAUCAGUCUUUUCGGGGCUGGCAGCGGUGGCUAUUGGAGGGCGCAAGCUCACGUGGUUGCUGUUGAUCCGGUUCAGUGGGAUGUACUUGAUAUGUGAGCGGGUCAGCAUCGGUUCGAUGUGGUGGGGUAAGGUGCGCGGGAAGGUAGCUCUUGACCGAGUGUUAAGCCUGCGUACUGAGACAUCUGUUGGACCGAGGAGUAGCAGCGUUGCCCUGUGGGCUAGAGGCUUGUUUCCGUGGUAUUUUCCGCGCGUUGUUACUGUUUCACGACAUGUGGCAGUGUGCGGCGAGGUGCCAAAGGGGAUGGGCAUUCAUACCAACGCUUGUGAUGCUGACGAAAUGGCUUUAAACGACCCGUCUUGAAACACGG